GCGAGUGAAGCGGCAACAGCUCAAAUUUGAAAUCUGGCUCUCGGGCCCGAGUUGUAAUUUGUAGAGGAUGCUUUUGGUGAGGUGCCUUCCGAGUUCCCUGGAACGGGACGCCAUAGAGGGUGAGAGCCCCGUCUGGUUGGACGCCGAACCUCUGUAAAGCUCCUUCGACGAGUCGAGUAGUUUGGGAAUGCUGCUCUAAAUGGGAGGUAUAUGUCUUCUAAAGCUAAAUACCGGCCAGAGACCGAUAGCGCACAAGUAGAGUGAUCGAAAGAUGAAAAGAACUUUGAAAAGAGAGUUAAACAGUACGUGAAAUUGUUGAAAGGGAAGCGCUUGUGACCAGACUUGGGCUUGGUUGAUCAUCCGGGGUUCUCCCCGGUGCACUCUUCCGGCCCAGGCCAGCAUCAGUUCGCCCUGGGGGACAAAGGCAUCGGGAACGUGGCUCUCUCCGGGGAGUGUUAUAGCCCGUUGCGUAAUACCCUGUGGCGGACUGAGGUUCGCGCAUUCGCAAGGAUGCUGGCGUAAUGGUCAUCAGUGACCCGUCUUGAAACACGGACCAAGGAGUCGUCUUCGUAUGCGAGUGUUCGGGUGUCAAACCCCUACGCGAAAUGAAAGUGAACGCAGGUGAGAGCUUCGGCGCAUCAUCGACCGAUCCUGAUGUUUUCGGAUGGAUUUGAGUAAGAGCAUACGGGGCCGGACCCGAAAGAAGGUGAACUAUGCCUGUGUAGGGUGAAGCCAGAGGAAACUCUGGUGGAGGCUCGCAGCGGUUCUGACGUGCAAAUCGAUCGUCAAACAUGGGCAUGGGGGCGAAAGACUAAUCGAACCUUCUAGUA
rnacentral:rRNA from 1 species